CUGAUGGGACGCGCGCGCAUAUCCGGCCACUAUUUCGUCUCUGGCCGGUCUGAGACUGUUAAUACAUGUCUCCUUCCUAUGCGCUCCAGCUUACAUCAUCACGCUGGAGCGCAUGGGAUGCGCGCGCAAGUGUCUUGGGACACGUGGACCGGAUAUGACGCCAGGGGUCAUGCUUGACUCUCUUCACUUCCGGUGGAGAUGUUGCUCUUAAGGUCAGCGCUGACACAGUGUGUGUCAGACGCCGACUUGGACGGCUUGAGGGAGGAUAUCACGCCACACAUGCAACGCUGCCUUACUUAGCCUCGCGGUGUUAAGACAUAAAUAAGAAUCGCAGUAUAAACAACAUAUAUAACUGCCCUUGGACUAUUCUACAGCAUUGUCUUUGGUUAUAAUACUACUGGGAUAUUAUAUCCCCCUAGGACAUCAGCAUAUUUUACUAGAUACUUCAUGUCAUUAACCAUCUAAGAGCUUACCGUGAAUCCAGUGUGAACUCUGCUGGACUCUACUAGCAGUAUUGAGCUUAUAUCCAAACUUCACUACUAUUGAGGAGAGAAAUAGAUACAACGUAUUCUUACCUGUAUCUCUUCCUCCUUAACUGUGGUGAACCCCCUCUUUACAUCUCAUUGUCCGCACCUGCUAAAAUCAAGUGGAUCUGGCCUCCGCUGAUUGAAAGUGCAGCAUCCAAUAUCUCCUGUCCGCAUCAGGUUCGCCUUCGCUAUUUUUCUUGGCAGCUCCUCUUGGUUCUGCCAGGUUCUUUGAGCUCUUUAAACAUAAUUGGUAAGCGCACUAUAUUCUCUUAUUCUUAUUUUAUUAAUUGUAUAUGUGUUGAACACUUAUUUACAAAGUUUAAAGAUACUACAUUGACCCUACCUGAAUUAAUAAUGAACCUUUGUGUCAUACACAGACCACUACAUGUAAUUAAGGAACAGAAGUAUCAUGCAAGCCCUGAUGAAGCACAUCUAGUG